AUUGAACGCUGGCGGCAUGCCUAACACAUGCAAGUCGAACGGGGUGUAGCAAUACAUCUAGUGGCGGACGGGUGAGGAAUACAUAGGAAUUUGCCCUUAAGUGGGGGAGUAGUCCGGGGAAACGUCGGUUUAAUACGCAUGAUCUCGUGAGAGCAAAGCAGGGGACCGGCAAGGCCUUGCGCUUUUGGAGAAGCCUAUGUCGGAUUAGCUAGUUGGUAGGGUAAUGCCUACCAAGGCGACGAUCCGUAAC
rnacentral:rRNA from 1 species